rnacentral:rRNA from 1 species
CACGUAGGGGGCGAGCGUUGUCCGGAUUUAUUGGGCGUAAAGAGCUCGUAGGCGGCUCAGUAAGUCAGGUGUGAAAACUCCAGGCUCAACCUGGAGACGCCACCUGAUACUGCUGUGGCUAGAGUCCGGUAGGGGAGCAUGGAAUUCCUGGUGUAGCGGUGAAAUGCGCAGAUAUCAGGAGGAACACCGGUGGCGAAGGCGCCACUCUGGGCCGAAACUGACGCUGAGGAGCGAAAGCGUGGGUAGCAAACAGG